CCCGCAGGCCCCACCUACGCCCUCAGAUUUCCCCUCUCUCUACACUUCUUCUCUCUCUUCAUUUUUUUCACCUGCCAUUUUUGCACCAGCAGCGGAACACCGCCGCUCGCGAAUCUCUCUCUCUCACUCCGCGGACUCCUGUCUCAACACUCGCCUCUCUCUGUCUCUCCACGAACCUUUUAUUUUCAUAAUUUGCACGGAUUGUGUGGGAUUGGAGAUGCAAAGAGUUUGAAGAAGCUAGAUUGAAGUUAGCGGAUCUCUGCCAGCCGCAAUUAGUUUAUCUCCCGCUGUUACAGACGCGGGAAAUGCAUAUUCACCAGCUCCGGAGGUACUACUGUUUGUAGUUGUGAAGAUUUUGAUGGACUUGCGCUUUUGAAUCUCCGUGGUUGAGUUCCGUGAGGGGAUUUCUCUGUUUGUAUGGUUUAUCGAAGACGUCGAGGUGUUUGGAGGAGCGGUUUGGAUUUUUGCAUUGGUCGAUAAUAUCAAUGCAGUUUUAGAUACGCAGAUUGAGGAACCCAAAUUUGCUGCAUGAAACGGAGGGAUAAGAUCUGAAGGCUAGAGGUUCUGCAUUUUAUCAGAAAAAAAGGAAGACCUGGUUGUACUGCGUGUUGUGGCAUUGAAUAAGAUAAGCAGCCUAGCCGGAAGAAAUGGUUUGAAGAUUUGAUUGAUUGGAUGUAAUGUCGAAGGCAUUAGCAUCAUUGCUGUUAAUUCUAUCAUUGUUUCUUUCCAUAUCGGCUGCUGAUAAUGGGUUUCCUCGCUGUAAUUGUGAUGAUGAGGGAUUUUGGAGCGUUGAAACUAUCAUGGAGUGCCAAAGAGUUAGUGAUUUUUUGAUUGCAGUGGCCUACUUCUCCAUCCCUAUUGAGCUGCUUUACUUUGUUAGCUGUUCCAAUAUACCAUUUAAAUGGGUUCUUUUUCAGUUCAUUUCGUUCAUUGUCCUCUGUGGAAUGACUCAUUUGCUAAAUGGCUGGACCUACAGACCUCAUACGUUUCAGCUGAUGCUUGCUCUCACAAUCUUCAAGUUCCUCACAGCAUUAGUUUCUUUUGCCACUGCUAUAACCCUUAUUACGCUCAUCCCUUUGCUGCUCAAAAUCAAGGUGAGAGAGAUUAUGCUAAGGAAGAAGACUUGGGAUCUUGAUCGAGAGGUUGGAAUUAUAAAGAAGCAGGAAGAAGCUGGAUGGCAUGUUCGGAUGCUGACACAAGAAAUUCGUAAGUCACUGGAUAGGCAUACUAUACUAGAUACUACACUGGUUGAGCUAUCAAAAGCAUUAGAAUUGCAGAACUGUGCUAUUUGGAUGCCAAAUACGGGUAAAACGGAAAUGAACUUGACUCAUGAAUUGAAAGGAAGGAAUUUUGCCAAUAAUUUCACCUCAUGUAUCCCAACCAGUGACCCUGAUGUAAGAGAGGUUAAGGGAAGUGACGGAGUUAAGAUACUUGACCCCGAGUCGGCCCUUGCUAUGGCAAGCAGUGGAGGAUCUGGUGAGUCUGGAGCUGUGGCUGCAAUCAGGAUGCCAAUGCUGAGAGUUUCCAAUUUCAAAGGUGGUACACCUGAGAUGGUUCCAGCUUGCUAUGCUAUCCUUGUUUUGGUACUCCCAGGUGGACCAGAUAGAUCUUGGAGCAAUGAGGAACUUGAGAUAGUGGAGGUGGUGGCUGACCAAGUUGCUGUGGCUCUCUCCCAUGCUUCAGUGCUUGAAGAGUCUCAACUUAUGAGAGAAAAGUUAGUGGAACAAAAUCGAGCACUACAACAAGCAAGACAAGAUGCACUUAUGGCAAGUCAAGCUCGGAAUGCAUUUCAGAUGGUCAUGAGUAAUGGGUUAAGAAGACCCAUGCACUCAAUUCUAGGCUUGCUAUCUGUUUUACAGCAUGAUAAGUUAAAUGAUGAACAAAGGCUGCUUGUUGAUACGAUGGUUAAGACUAGUAAUGUUCUUUCUACGUUAAUAACAGAUGUAAUGGAUACUUCAUCUAAGGAUGGCGGAAGGUUCCUUCUAGAGAUGAAGCACUUUCAGUUGCAUUCUUUGGUAAAGGAAGCUGCUUGCCUUUCCAAGUGUCUUUCUUCAUAUAAGGGCUAUGAUUUUGUGACUGAGGUUGAAAGGUCACUGCCAAAUCAUGUCAUAGGUGAUGAGCGAAGAGUUUUUCAUGUUAUUCUGCAUAUGGUUAGCAAUUUGCUGAGUGGAAGCAAAGGAGGUGGGAGUUUGACUCUACAAGUAUAUUCAGCCAGUGGAAGUCAAGGGUGGAAUCAGCAAAAAUGGGGCCAGUGGAGAUCGAACUUGUCCGAAGGAUAUAUUUUUACCAGGAUUGAUGUUGGGAUCUGUCAUAAUCAAUCAGAUGAUAUAAUACCAUUUAAUCCGUAUGACGGGAAUAAAUACCAUGUACCAGUUGGGGAAAGCUUGAGCUUUAGUGCAUGCAAAAAAAUAGUACAGUUGAUGCAAGGAGACAUCUGGAUGGUACCGAAUCCCGAGGGUUUUGACCAAAGGAUGGCUCUUGUUUUGCGUUUUCAAGUCCGGUCAUCCAUCAGUGCAGGCAUUUCAGAACAUGGAGAAACUUCUGAGCGUGUUCAUUCGAAUUCACUUUUCAGAGGUCUGAAAGUUAUCUUAGCUGAUGCAGAUGACGUAAAUAGAGCUGUAACUAGGAAGUUGCUUGAAAAGCUAGGGUGCAUUGUGUCUGUUGUUUCAUCUGGAUUUGAAUGCCUCAGUGCUAUUGGUCCUGCUGCUUCUUCCUGUCAAAUUGUGUUUCUGGAUCUUCACUUGCCUGAUUUGGAUGGCUUUGAAGUCACCAUGAAAAUCCGGAAGUUUCGCAGCCACAGUUGGCCAUUGAUAAUUGCCUUGACCUCAAACGACGAUGGGGAAACAAGGGAUAGAUGUUUGCAGAUUGGAAUGAAUGGUGUUAUUAAAAAACCAGGCACAUUUCAAGAGAUCUCUGAGGAGCUUAAGCGGAGCCUGCUGCAGGCCAAUAGGAUCUUGCCUUGAUGGCGGUAGCGCAUCCUGUCGAGCAACAUGCAUAUCUCUUUUCAGGCAGCAAUAUGCUUAUUUACUACUCAUUAUUAUUAACAAAGAGAACUGUAUGCUGUAAGUAGCUCCUGGGAUGAGUUAUCCAACAUAGAGAUGUGACAUACACUACAUUGAUAGUCAAAGUGCUUGUUAAGAGAGAUGCAGAAGGCGUGUACGAAUGGCUUAACUAGGAAGCCAUCUCGCUUCAUGGGUGUUAAAAGCUCGGUCGUCUGUAUUUUCCAGGUAUGAGUUUCAGCUUCAAAUAUUUCUGAGGAAUAUUCUGCUUUUUAGAUGUAUUGUGCUUUGCUUUUUGCUCUUGUUUUACUUGUGUUGUCUCAUAACCUUUUUAGAGCUAUAAAAUCAUGCAUGAAUGAAUUUGGUGUACGUGUUUGGGUCACUGUUUCUUCUUUCAUUUUCAUUGCUUCUUGCGGCCCCAGUUGCAGUGAGGAGCUCCCACAUGUUUUUUCUUUGUGGUCUUCGUUACUGCACUCAUCGUUCUCGUUUCUCAUUUAUUGGUCGUGCAAUCUAGUCGAAUAUAGGAAACGUCUAGUCUAUUAUCGAGUCGAGUUCAAGCUUCAUUUACCGAGCAUUUGAAGGUCUCGAGCUUUUCGAGACAUGUAUUUUAUUUUCUUGUUGAUUAGAUCUAGUUCAUUUAGUCAAAUAUAAACAAUUACUACUAUAAGUUUGAAUCAAGCAAACUCAGUCACACUUCUUGAUGAUCAUCCUUCAAAUAAGACAAAGUACACACAUCUUGUCAUAGUUAAAAGAUAAUUGUGAUUGUCAUCAAAUAAAUAGUGCCAUUAAGAAACUAGGUGGUGAUGGAAACAAGAAAUUGACAAAAGGUUGUAAAAUGACAUGCCUCUUGCAAUUAAAUAAUUGAAUGAACAAACUUUUAAUCCAAGGGAUCUGUAUGGAAAUUAAAUAUAAUAAAGAUGACUAUCUUUUCAAGGCAUAAUAUUACUUUGAGUAGUUUAUGGAUUAUUUUACUACAAAUAAAAGUGAGAAGUUCAUCUAUCUAUUCCUUUUAACCUUUUCAUUUCUUGCAAAUGCAUGGAGAAAAGGGAUUAUGUCUAGGAGCUCUGCAUUUAACUUUUUAAAUACUUUAUUACAGAAAUCUAUUAAAAAGGUGGAUAUGAUAAGUGCAAAUUGGAAAGUUUCAUUUGCAAGUUGGCAUUCAGAGCAUCUCCAAUGGCGGCGUCGGCACCGGCACGCCGAUUUUUUGCGGACGUCGGUGCUGACGCCGAACCAUUGCAGCUGGCGUCGGUGAAAUCGGCGUCAAAAUCGGCGUGCCCACGCCGAUUCUUGGGCUGACGCCGAUUCUCACGCCGAUACGCACGACGCCAUUGUAGGUCCCGGAUCGGCGUCAGAUUUUUAUUUUUUUUUUAAUUUUUCGAAACACUAUACAUACGCGCUUUAGACGUCAUUUUC